GAUCCUUUGGGACGUACGCUAAAAUCGGAGCUUAACAGAGAAGAUUAGCAUAGCCCCGCGCAAGGAUGACACGCACAAAUCGAGAAAGUGGUCCAAUUUUU